rnacentral:ncRNA from 1 species
CGACCCCAGGUCAGGCGGGACUACCCGCUGAGUUUAAGCAUAUAAAUAAGCAAAGGAGAAGAAACUUACAAGGAUUCCCCUAGUAACGGCGAGCGAACCGGGAGCAGCCCAGCUUGAGAAUCGGGCGGCUGUGCCAUCCGAAUUGUAGUCUGGAGAGGCGUCCUCAGUGACGGACCAGGCCCAAGUCCCCUGGAAAGGGGCGCCUGGGAGGGUGAGAGCCCCGUCCGGCCCGGACCCUGUCACCCCAUGAGGCGCCGUCAACGAGUCGGGUUGUUUGGGAUUGCAGCCCAAAUCGGGCGGUAGACUCCGUCCAAGGCUAAAUACAGCGAGAGACCGAUAGCGAACAAGUAUCAUGAGGGAAAGAUGAAAAGGACUUUGAAAAGAGAGUCAAAGAGUGCUUGAAAUUGCCGGGAGGGAAGCGGAUGGGGGCCGGCGAUGCGCCCCGGCCAUAUGCGGAACGGCUCUUGCUGGUCCGCCGCUCGGCUCGGGGUGUGGACUGUUGUCGGCCGCGCCAGCGGCCAAAGCCCGGGGGCCCUAGGUGCCCCCAGUGGCCGUCGUCGGCACGGCCAGUACCCGCGCGCCGAAAGGCGUGUCCCUCGGGGCACUGCGCUGCAACGGCCUGCGGGCUCCCCAUCCGACCCGUCUUGAAACACGGACCGAGGAGUCUGACACGCGUGCGAGUCGAUGGGUUCUGAAACCUCGGAUGCGCAAGUAAGCUGACGAGCGGGAGGCCCUCACGGGCCGCACCGCUGGCUGACCCUGAUCUUCUGUGAAGGGUUCGAGUUGUAGCACGCCUGUCGGGACCCGAAAGAUGGUGAACUAUGCCUGAACGGGGCAAAGCCAGAGGAAACUCUAGUGGAGGCUCGAAGCGAUACUGACGUGCAAAUCGUUCGUCUGACUUGGGUAUAGGGGCGAAAGACUAAUCGAACCAUCUAGUAGCUGGUUCCCUCCGAAGUUUCCCUCAGGAUAGCUGGAGCCCAUUACGAGUUCUGUCAGGUAAAGCCAAUGAUUAGAGGCAUCGGGGACGCAACGUCCUCGACCUAUUCUCAAACUUUAAAUAGGUAGGAUGGCGCGGCUGCUUCGGUGAGCCGUGCCA